CACGCCCUAAACGAUGUGUGCUCGCUAUCGGAUGGUUUUCCAUUCGGUGGCUAAGCUAACGCGAUAAGCACACCGCCUGGGGAUUACGAUCGCAAGAUUAAAACUCAAAGGAAUUGACGGGGACCCGCACAAGCGGUGGAGCAUGUUGUUUAAUUCGAUGAUACACGAGGAACCUUACCAGCCCUUGACAUGUAUAUUAUACUUUCUGGAAACAGAUUGUUUCGGUUUGGCCGGGUAUACACAGGUGU
rnacentral:rRNA from 1 species